GUCCCCGCGAGACGUCCUCCGGGGCCUCGGCGCUGGCCAGGGGACCGCUUGGCGCUGCCGGGCCUCCGCCACCCGAGCCGCGAGGCCCUCGGACCUAACCGGAGCCUGCCCAGAGCCCGAGCGCCGGCCGCCCCGCCGCGGAUGCAGCCCCGUGAGGAUGCUGGGACGUGGCUCCGAGCUUGGUGUUGGCCUGCCCGAGUGGUCCGCACUGGGAAAACAACACCAGGUGGCCCCACUCCGACCCGCCGGCUUGGUACUGGGCUUCCCGCCCGUUGAUGGGUUAGAAAACCGAGCUUCAGUGAUUUCCCCAGGCUCCCGAAUGGGGAACCGGGCCCGAGCUCAGACGCGCAGGCUUGGGAAGCCCGAGAUGACCUGCGGGUCGGAGGUGAUUCUUUGAGGAAAUCCAUCCCCCAGCCAUCCACCAGCCGCUUUCUUGGAUUUGGCCCAGGGACUUCGACCUGUCUGGCAACUGAACAUGGCAACUUCUACUCCAACGGGCCUGGCCCGAAUUGCCUUAUGAGUGAAGCCGAAGUCAUCCUUGACCCUGCUCUUUCAUCGUCUCCCAUCUUGGUUCUAAGUCACCUGCCAGCUGGUCAGCUGUCUUAAGAUUACUUCCUCCAGAUCACUUCUUCCUUUUCAUUCCACGGCAAGCACCAUCUGGGGUUAAUGGAGACAUCUCCCUAACUGGCCUUACUGCCCACUGGUCUGCUCCCACUCUUGUCCUCCUUGAAAAUAGACUAAGUGAAUUUUCCUAA